UGGUUUUUAGAUCAAGAGGUAAUGAUUAAUAGAAGCAGUUUGGGGGCAUUAGUAUUACGACGCGAGAGGUGAAAUUCUUGGACCGUCGUAAGACUAACUUAAGCGAAAGCAUUUGCCAAAGAUGUUUUCAUUAAUCAAGAACGAAAGUUAGAGGUUCGAAGGCGAUCAGAUACCGCCCUAGUUCUAACCAUAAACGAUGCCAGCUAGCAAUUGGGUGUAGCUACUAUCAUGGCUCUCUCAGUCGCUUCCCGGGAAACCAAAGCUUUUGGGCUCCGGGGGAAGUAUGGUUGCAAAGCUGAAACUUAAAGGAAUUGACGG
rnacentral:rRNA from 1 species